GGGGCACGGGCGGCGUGCCUAUACUGCAAGUCGAACGAACUUCCGUUAAUUGAUUAUGACGUGCUUGCACUGAAUGAGAUUUUAACACGAAGUGAGUGGCGGACGGGUGAGUAACACGUGGGUAACCUGCCCAGAAGCAGGGGAUAACACCUGGAAACAGAUGCUAAUACCGUAUAACAGAGAAAACCGCCUGGUUUUCUUUUAAAAGAUGGCUCUGCUAUCACUUCUGGAUGGACCCGCGGCGCAUUAGCUAGUUGGUGAGGUAACGGCUCACCAAGGCGAUGAUGCGUAGCCGACCUGAGAGGGUAAUCGGCCACAUUGGGACUGAGACACGGCCCACACUCCUACGGGAGGCAGCAGUAGGGAAUCUUCCACAAUGGACGCAAGUCUGAUGGAGCAACGCCGCGUGAGUGAAGAAGGGUUUCGGCUCGUAAAGCUCUGUUGUUAAAGAAGAACGUGGGUGAGAGUAACUGUUCACCCAGUGACGGUAUUUAACCAGAAAGCCACGGCUAACUACGUGCCAGCAGCCGCGGUAAUACGUAGGUGGCAAGCGUUAUCCGGAUUUAUUGGGCGUAAAGCGAGCCAGGCGGUCUUUUACUC
rnacentral:rRNA from 1 species